rnacentral:rRNA from 1 species
AUGUUGUUUGCUACCUCGAGGGCUGUGCAAUCAGGUAAAUAUCAUGGUUCGGAAAAAAAUUGGGGCUGUAAAGAUGGAAAGAGAAAGACAACAUGGGUGUCUUGGGAUGAUCUGGCCAUGCGUAAGUACAUGGGGGGUUUGGGGUUCUGGGAUACGGAGAUUUUCAACCUUGUCAUGUUCGAAAAGCAAGGAUGGCGGAUUCUUCAGGAGCCGAGUUCGCUGAGCGUGCGGAUUCUCAAAGCAAAGUACGUCCCAUCUUCUGACUUGCUAGAAUCGAAGCUUGGAUCCCAACCAUCUCAAGUGUGGUGAGUUGUUCAUGCAGGCCUAGAAGUUUUGAAACGGGGACUUGUCCGGCGUAUUGGAGAUGGGAAACCAGCGCACGAUUGGAAUCAUAACAAGGAAUUAGGACAACUCCCCUGUUCUUGA